GUCUGGUAGCACCAAUGAUUUGGAUAAACGCCGCAUGGCAUUUGGAAAGAACUUACUCCCCCCACAGAAGCCCAAGUUGUUCCUGCAGCUGUUGUGGGAGACUGUGGACUUGACACUGAAGAUUGUUGAAGUUUUUGCAAUUAUCUCAUUGGGCUUGUCCUUCUACAAACCACCAGAGGACAACAAUGAAGCAGGACAAGAAUCCAGAGCAGACCUCUAAGUCAUCACAAACUACUUCAAGAAACACAAGCUGAAGCUGUUAAAAAUCACAAUCUGCUGACCUGUAGAUCACUAAGCCAAGAUGGCGCCGGGGGAAGGCGCCGUCGCAAGAGCUCUCCUGUGCGCAGUCUAUUUUAUGUUUGUAUUCGUUUUUGAAACGCUUGCCACUGUAAGAUAUGAUCGUGAGACACUUCUGAAGAUCCGGGAUGAAGGUUGUGGACUACCACAUGUUAUUCCCGAACUGAAGUGUGCUGAUUUUGUUGCGUGCCCUACUCGGGGCAAGAGAAGCCAUGAGUUGAGCCACGGAGAUCGGGAGCAGAGCGAGGGAACUGGGCGGAGGCAUCGUCACACACGCCGCUCACCUGAGCCUCAGAGCGCUGACGCUACAGGUUGCCUGCGGCGGAAGCGCAGACACCGAGGAAAGCGGGGAGGGCUGCUCGUGAAGCUACGCAGCCGCCCGUCGAGGAUUCCGCUGCCAUCCAUCUACCUGGCAAACGUCCAGUCAUUGUCCAACAAGACGGACGACCUGUUGUGCCGCAUCCACACCCAGCGCGAGGUCCGGGAAAGCUCCGUGUUCUGCCUGACCGAGACAUGGCUUCAUUGCAACGUGCCGGACUCUACUUUCCAGCCACCGGGAUUCUCCGUUCACCGCUCGGACAGAGUGAAAGAGCGCACCGGGAAAUCGAAGGGAGGAGGACUCUCCCUUAAAGGCGGUACAGAUGCUGUGGAUAAACUUCAUCAUGGACCCUCUGGCCGCUCUGGCUCUUGCCACCAACCAGCCGACGGAGUCUCUGCUCAAACAAAAAUCUUGCGGACGCAACAAAACCCUCAUCUCCAGGACCAUGAUGAAGAACAUUCUGGGCCACGCCGUGUACCAGCUUGUCGCUAUUUUUAUCCUGGUCUUUGCUGGCGCUUCCUUGGUAUCAACCCUGAGAGGGGAACAAAGGGCAGCCAGGAGAAGGUGAUGUUCCAGAGGUCAGGAAGCUGCUCCAGAAAAAGGCAUCUACUGUAAAUCCCCAUGUAGUCACCUUUAUAAAAAGACAGAUGGACUCUGAGUGGGACUUCAUGUAAACCCACAACACCUCUCCACACAGAACCUCACUUUCACAAAGGAAAAGCCCCAUCUGCAACCAGAUGUUCAUGUUGUCAUUCUAAGGUAACAAGUCUCAGCAUUGUGUUUGGUUCAGUAUAAAAUACUUCCGUCCUGGUGUCUCAGUUUUGAAGUUCCAGGUUUGUUCCAUGACUUGGUGUUUAUUGAACAUGAUCAAGAGUCAUGAAAGACUGAUUCUGAAGGCAGCGUACCUGAAAU
ensembl:lncRNA